AAGUUGUUGGAGGGACAUGGAAGAGUCUGGACUCAUUGAUUCUAGAGAGACCCCUCACCCCUCCACAUGAAAAUCUGUCUCUCUUAUAAUGAGGCCCAAUUGGCUGCGUUUGGGGGAGCUUUUAAGCUCCUGUGCUUAUAAGCAAAGGACCAUGGCUGCGUUUGGGGGGGGCUUUUUUUGCUCCCCCGCUUAUCCGCUUAUAAGCGCUACACCCUUUAGCGUUUGGUAACUCCUCCUUCAGCCGGCUUCUAAGUUCUAACAGAAGCCAUGGCUUUUUCCACUGAAAAGCAGAAGCCAUGGCUUAUAGUAAUGAUUAAUGAACUAUCUGUGAAGCCUCAAUCCUAUCAACAUCACGAUUUCCCCAAUUCGAAAUUGAAGCCUCAAUCAAGCAACUGAGCAAACUCUGAUCACUCUGCACCCAAAUUUUUGUCAUCUCCGACGAACCAGCUAUUCAGAGUUUUGGGCUUUUGGCAAGAAAGCUAGAGAGUCAACCUGUGGAGGAGUUCUACCGCAGUCGGGGAAAAUUGUUAGAGUUUGAUCUUCCUGGAGGGAUUCCAGAAUCCUGACCAAAGCUGCUUCGAGCUUUAAAUCUGGAAGACCAUGAUGACAAACAGUCUGCCGCAGCAUGAUUUGUAUUUUGUGUACUAAUAUACAUUAGACGACUUGGUUUCCAUUAGGUAAAGCUAGAUCAUUCAUUUUUUGCAUGUCAGGGAAGCUGGUGCAUUUAAUUUAAAAUUUGAAAGGAAAAACUUCUAUAUGCAAUAAAAGCACGAAGAGGCCCAUUUCCUUUCGAGUUAUGUAAGUGGCCAUGGGUCUUGUGUGGGGAGAUAAGCAUUGUAAUGGUCAGCCAAUUUAGUAUCUUGUUGUCAUAGGUACUAAAGCUUGGACUACAUUUGAUAGCAAAGACAGUAAUUUUGUCCGCAGUGAAGAAAGUUCGGGUGAUAGGUCAAGCGGUGUGAUAGAGAUGGAUGAUGAUGUAGAAGAAUAUCAUGGUCAUGGUGCACAAGAAAUGGAAACAAUAAGAAAUAGCAUUACUCAGAGUUUGAUGAGUGCACGUAAUAACAUGGACAUUUGAAUAUGUUAUGAUAUUUUUUGUGGUUACUUGAUGCCAAUAAGAAAUCAAUUAUUAUUAAUGUUACUAAUAUAUUUGUAUAA